CAUGUUAAUAUUUGUGGACACCAGUAAAAGUAAAAUUCUAUCUAGUGACUGAAAAAGCCAAAGAUGUGGAAUCUGUUUGCACCUGGAGACCCUGAUGUCCAGAACAUCAAACUAUUCUGCCACCCUUAGCUCAAGAAAGGGUGCGCGGAGCUGGAAGCAACAGGUGACACUGUGCAGUUCUUGUCUGUGUUCACAGCCCAGUGCCACAAGACCUCCCUCAUCACAUCUUCCACAUGGGAAGGAGGAGGCAGGCUCAGCCUUCACUUUGACGUUGGAUCUGCAUCUGUCCCUAGUUACUUUUUCCCCAUGGGGAAACUGAGACACAAGGGAGGUAAAUGUCUGUGGUGGACCCAGGUUGCUGUGGACCUAAUCUGAGAAACUGUGCUUCCUUUCUUAGGUGGUGUAUCACCCUGCAGCAGAUCUUCUGCUGGGCUGGUUGACAGAUCUGCCCAAACGGUGAGCACUGGAUGGGGGUGUGACAUGAAGCACUUUGUGCAGUCAGGGAUGGAUGGUAUGGAAUUCUCCAAAGCAUGUGCAGUUACAAUCUAGACAGGUUAGUGAACGUAGGCCCAGAAAAGAUAAAUGUGUUGAACCAUGCAAAUUAAAAGUUAAGAGUAAACAAAUCUGGACAGUGGAACAACUGAGCUGAUGGGGAAGUGUGAGAUGUGAAGAAAUUUUUUCGAUUAACUACAGUCCUGUCACAAAUGGUCCAGGGAGAGUUCUGAGCAGCAGCAUACCCAUGCACUACGGAAGUCAUUGUAUGUUUCCCUUGCCCUUGGGUAACAGCAGUUGAUGUCCACAUUUUCAGCAGCUCCAAAGCUGAAAUUUGUCUUGUGUUACUGUUUAUUUAGCCUGACUAUUUCUGGACAAGGUGUUAGCCCCUCAUUCGUUUGUGCUUAAUGCACAGCAGCAAGGCCAGCUGCUGAAUAUGGGGCUUUUCUCAGCAGUUGUCUGCAUUAACGUCUGGCUACUGAGACGAAGUUGUGCUGCCAGACCUCCACGACACUGUCCAGACAAGGCUUUCCCAGAGCUGGAUGAGCCUAGGAAAAAAAAACACCAAAGCCAAAACCCUCUUUGAGAAAUCAAUGCCAGUUUCAAAUACCACACUGUAAAGUGCUUCUGCUUGUGAAGCUAGCAAUCAGAGAACGUCUGCCUGGACAAGGGCUCUGAACCAACUCCUGUUACAGGACCUGACCCUGUGUUCUUGGUGGUAAGUGACCACAUUACUCUUUGGGGCCUGUGGGUGUCAAAGACAAGACGCAUGUGAGAAAAGUCACCAGCUGAAAGCAGGCACAUGUUUUGCACACUAGAGGUAGUUUAGUAGCCCAAGCCUGUUUCUGAUUAAAAUAAGAGUCCUUCAGAUGAAUGGAAUGUAAACCACAUACCAAUUAUUGGAAUCCCAUAAAGGAAACUCCCUUUUCCAUCUGUCUAUCCAUCCAUCCGCCCACCCACACAAGUACAGUGUCUCAGAAAUAUCCCUCUGUAGAAAUGAGGGAGAAAUUCAGUGCUUGCUUCCUUUUUCCUUACCUCCCAGGUGCUGGAUGACAACUGAAGAGAUGAAAUUGCAGUGAAGCCACUUAAACACUUAUCAAAGAAAUGGACCUACUAAUUAAAAGGAUAGUAUUUCCUGGCACCAAGACAAAAUACACAAAGCUGAAUCUCAAGGCCUUCCUCAAACAAACUGUGUGGGAAUGUGGCUGUGUGAGGGCUGCAGGAACAAGCCGUAGAGUAAGACCCACUCAAAGGGAAAGAGUUAGAUCAGCACACUCAUUAGAAAAAAAUACUAAGGCAUGCAUAUAGCUGUUUCAGUUGCCAAAUCUCUUAUUGCUUUGCAUUCCCAUUGGACUUUUUAUUGAGGCUUUUCCAUGUAACUGAUUACAGUAAUUAAUGUUCCCAUCAAUCCUGUGAGGCAGAAGGUGUUUCUCCCAGGUCAGCUGUGCAUUGUAAGUAUUACAGUAUCUAUUUUACAGAUUGUAAAACCAAGACACAAAGUUCAGAGACAGCAAAUCAGUGCUGAACUAUGGUAGAGUCCCAUUCCUGACUCUGACCACAAUACACACAGUUUCUCCUAAGUAUACACUAAUCUCAAACACACUGCUUAAAUGAGCAGACCUUCCCCAUAUAAAUGAAGGCAAUAUAUCUGCUUUGGUGAGCAGUCUCUACUGCUAACAUCUGUUACCCCACAUAAAGAAUUUAGAUCCAGGAUAAAGGUAGUACUACAACAUGCUCUUUAUGUUCCUACUAUAAUUGCAGGACAGUUCAGUCUCAAUGCAAAAAGCAGACUUUGUAUAGAUGGAAGAAGUUUUAAAUGUUAAUAAUUUAGUUAAGAGUUGGGUCUACAGUGGUAUUAUGGUCUAGUUCAUGGUAACUUUUUUGAUACUCUGCUGGCCUCUAGAGGGGUAAUUUAUACACGAGCUGAAGCAGUAACCUAGGGGUUUUAAGCAAUACUGUCUGCUCUUCAGUCCUCUUGCCAGGUAGUUCUUUUUUAUUUUGCAAGGCAUUUAAGUAGUGAAGCUUUGUAGGUCUUUGGAAACACUUUUUUUCACUUCCAUGGUUUUCCCUCUCCCUGGGCAAUGGAUGUAAGAUACGUUUCUUCUGCUCAAAUAAGGGUAGAAUAUCCUGGCAAUAAAUGCCUCAGCCCUGAGGAAAAUGUGCAAGAGGUGUGAGUAAGAGAGAGAAAUGCAGAAAAGAGAAUACAGCAUUUUAUGUAUAACAUUUAUCCGUAAUUAAAAAGCUCCUAAACACUGACAAUUCUUCUCAUGAAUCCCAUCAUGCUCACUGAAAGCCAUUAACUGCAUUAUGAAACAAAACAAAGCAAAACAAAACAAGAA